rnacentral:rRNA from 1 species
GAUGAACGCUGGCGGCGUGCCUAAUACAUGCAAGUCGAGCGAACAGACGAGGAGCCUGCUCCUCUGACGUUAGCGGCGGACGGGUGAGUAACACGUGGAUAACCUACCUAUAAGACUGGGAUAACUUCGGGAGACCGGAGCUAAUACCGGAUAAUAUAUUGAACCGCAUGGUUCAAUAGUGAAAGACGGUUUUGCUGUCACUUAUAGAUGGAUCCGCGCCGCAUUAGCUAGUUGGUAAGGUAACGGCUUACCAAGGCAACGAUGCGUAGCCGACCUGAGAGGGUGAUCGGCCACACUGGAACUGAGACACGGUCCAGACUCCUACGGGAGGCAGCAGUAGGGAAUCUUCCGCAAUGGGCGAAAGCCUGACGGAGCAACGCCGCGUGAGUGAUGAAGGUCUUCGGAUCGUAAAACUCUGUUAUUAGGGAAGAACAAAUGUGUAAGUAACUAUGCACGUCUUGACGGUACCUAAUCAGAAAGCCACGGCUAACUACGUG